UGAGAUCUGAUGAUUUUAUUAGUGAUUUCCCCUUUCACUUGACUCAUGCCACCAUGUAAGACGUGCCUUUUGUCUCCCGCAAUAAUAAUAAAGGACCUCUGGGCUGUAAAAAAAAAAAAAAAAGACGUAAGUUAAAAGUAUAAUUAAUACAAAUUAUAGAUAUGUGGAAAUUUAAACAUUAAAGGGACAUUUGAUGGUAUUUAAAAAUUACUACUUUAAUUUGUAAAAUUUUAGGUGAGAUAAUGGUUUUGUGGUUAAUUUCAAAUGUUUUUAUGUUUCAGAGAUACAUGCCAAAAUAUGUAUAAGUGAAAUGAUAUGAUAUCUGGUAUCUUCCUUCAAUUAACACAGGAAGGGGAAGUGGCUGGAUGAAACAAGAUUGGUCACGAAUUGAUCAUUGUUGAGCUGCGUGGUGGUUACAUAAGGAUCAAUUUCGUAAAUAAUUAAAACUCCAUAAUAAAAAAGUUUUGUAAGAACUUUUUCUGGACCGGAUACAAAAGGACUGAUAGAAUUGCUGACAAGGUAUUUGAGGGCAUUGGGAAGACUUCCAAGGAAAUUGGGACACUCAUGUGAAAGCGUUCCUAGGCAGCAAGACAG
rnacentral:lncRNA from 1 species